AUUGAACGCUGGCGGCAGGCCUAACACAUGCAAGUCGAGCGGCAGCGGAAAGUAGCUUGCUACUUUGCCGGCGAGCGGCGGACGGGUGAGUAAUGUCUGGGAAACUGCCUGAUGGAGGGGGAUAACUACCGGAAACGGUAGCUAAUACCGCAUAACGUCGCAAGACCAAAGAGGGGGACCUUCGGGCCUCUUGCCAUCAGAUGUGCCCAGAUGGGAUUAGCUAGUAGGUGGGGUAACGGCUCACCUAGGCGACGAUCCCUAGCUGGUCUGAGAGGAUGACCAGCCACACUGGAACUGAGACACGGGCCAGACGCCUACGGGAGGCAGCAGUGGGGAAUAUUGCACAAUGGGCGCAAGCCUGAUGCAGCCAUGCCGCGUGUAUGAAGAAGGCCUUCGGGUUGUAAAGUACUUUCAGCGGGGAGGAGGGUGUUGAGGUUAAUAACCUCAGCAAUUGACGUUACCCGCAGAAGAAGCACCGGCUAACUCCGUGCCAGCAGCCGCCGUAAUAC
rnacentral:rRNA from 1 species